rnacentral:sRNA from 1 species
AAAGGCAAUUGGCCCAUCCCUCUGCCUCUGGCCACAGCCAGACCUCACCCAGUACAGUUUGUGGAGGGAAGAAUUUGUACCCCCUCUCCGUGUUCUCCCUGACUUCGGGGACCCGGCCGUCGUGCUAUUUGAGGCCAUGGACUUCGAGGGGCACGGCGUGGAGGUGAGCAAGGCAUUGCCGGAUGUGGAGCUGGUGCAACACGGCCCCAGCACACAGGCCAUCCACGUGCUCAGCGGCGUGUGGGUGGCCUACCAGGAGGUGGGCUUCUCCGGGGAACAGUACGUGCUGGAGAAGGGCGUGUACCGUAACUGCGAGGACUGGGGCGCUGGCAACAGCACCCUCGCCUCGCUGCAGCCGGUCCUACAGGUCGGGGAGCACGAUCUGCACUUCGUCUCAAAGAUUCAGCUUUUCUCCCGCCCCGACUUUCUGGGCGACCACUUCUCUUUCGAAGAUGACCAGGCCGCUCUGCCCGCCUCCUUCCGACCUCAGUCCUGCCGGGUCCACGGCGGCAGCUGGAUCCUGUUUGAUGAGACGAACUUCGAGGGU